AAACAUAGCCUUUUGAUAUCUUAUAAAAGGUAUCUUCUGCCCAGUGAAAAUUUAACGGCCGCGGUAACCUGACCGUGCUAAGGUAGCAUAAUAAUUUGUCCCUUAAUUUGGGAAUAGAAUGAAUGAAUAAACAAUAAGAUUAUUGUCUCACAGUAAUAAAUAAAAAUUUAUAUAAAGGUGAAAAAGCCUUUAUAAAUAAAAAAGACAAAAAGACCCUAGAAGCUUGCAAAUAAUUAUAAUUAUUUUAUAUAUAUUUUUUAGCUGGGAGGGCACAAAGAUUAUAAUACACUUUGAACACAAAAGACAUAUAUCAAAUUUAAUUAACCCUAAUAAGAAUAAAAGUAAGCUACUCUAGGGGUAACAGGCUAAUACUCCUUAAGAGUACAUAUUGACAGGAGUGUUUGGCACCUCGAUGUUGGCUUAGGAAACUUAUUUUAUGCAGAAGUAAAACUAAGUGGUUUGUUCAACCUUUAAUAUCCUACAUGAUCUGAGUUCAAACCGGAGA
rnacentral:rRNA from 1 species